GACCAGACUCCUACGGGAGGCAGCAGUGGGGAAUAUUGCACAAUGGGGGAAACCCUGAUGCAGCGACGCCGCGUGAGUGAAGAAGUAAUUCGUUAUGUAAAGCUCUAUCAGCAGGGAAGAAAAUGACGGUACCUGAGUAAGAAGCCCCGGCUAACUACGUGCCAGCAGCCGCGGUAAUACGUAGGGGGCAAGCGUUAUCCGGAUUUACUGGGUGUAAAGGGAGCGUAGACGGAUGGAUAAGUCUGAAGUGAAAGCCCGCGGCUCAACUGCGGGACUGCUUUGGAAACUGUGCAUCUUGAGUACGGGAGGGGCAGGCGGAAUUCCUGGUGUAGCGGUGAAAUGCGUAGAUAUCAGGAGGAACACCGGCGGCGAAGGCGGCCUGCUGGACCGAAACUGACGUUGAGGCUCGAAAGCGUGGGGAGCAAACAGGAUUAGAUACCCUAGUA
rnacentral:rRNA from 1 species